ACACAGGUUUGGUCCUGACCUUCCUAUUAAUUGUUGCCAGACUUACACAUGCAAGUAUCCGCCCGCCAGUGAAAAUGCCCUCUAACUCUAUAAUAGAAGCAAAGGAGCAGGUAUCAGGCACACUUUAAAGUAGCCCACGACACCUUGCUCAGCCACGCCCCCACGGGAAACAGCAGUGAUAAAAAUUAAGCCAUAAACGAAAGUUUGACUAAGUUAUGUCAAUUAGGGUUGGUAAAUAUCGUGCCAGCCACCGCGGUCAUACGAUUAACCCAAACUAAUAGAUUCCGGCGUAAAGCGUGGAUAAGACUACACCCAACUAGAGUUAAACUCUAACUAAGCUGUAAAAAGCCCUAGUUACUGUAAAAUACCCCACGAAAGUGACCCUAUGAAUCUGAACCCACGACAGCUAAGACCCAAACUGGGAUUAGAUACCCCACUAUGCUCAGCCUUAAACCUAGGAGGUCUCACUAACAAGACUGCUCGCCAGAGUACUACUAGCUAAAGCUUAAAACUCAAAGGACUUGGCGGUGCUUUAUAUCCAUCUAGAGGAGCCUGUUCUAUAAUCGAUAAACCCCGCUAAACCUCACCAACCCUUGCUAAGUCAGCCUAUAUACCGCCAUCCUCAGCAAACCCUAAAAAGGAGCCAAAGUAAGCACAACUAUAGGACAUAAAAACGUUAGGUCAAGGUGUAGCUUAUGGGUUGGAAAGAAAUGGGCUACAUUCCCUGCCAAAGGGUACAACAACACACACGAAAACUAUUGUGAAAACAAUAGACCAAGGCGGAUUUAGCAGUAAAUUAAGAAUAGAGAGCUUAAUUGAAUAUAGGCCAUGAAGCACGCACACACCGCCCGUCACCCUCCUCAAACAACACCAAUCAAAAUAAACCCUAUUUAAAUGAUUGAUCCAGUAAGAAGAGACAAGUCGUAACAAGGUAAGUGUACUGGAAGGUGCACUUGGAUAACU
rnacentral:ncRNA from 1 species